GAUGGCGCGUACGGAGACGGUUGAUUCCUGUUCGUCUAGUAAAUCAGCCUCACCGAAAUACUCACCAUCGCCUAAUAGAGCGAUCCGUAAAUCCUCACCGUGAGGGCCCUUACUGAUGACCUCAGCCUGUCCACUGGCUACGAUGAAGAAACGCUGUUUGUCCUUGCCCUCCUCCACGAAGAACUUAUCCACAUCGAUCUCCUUGGCCUCGAACGAGCUCACCAGGCGGUUCAGAAUCUCGUCGUCGAACUCAGAGAACAAGGGUAUAGCUUUGAGGUUCUUCGCUGUAAACGACGGCACGCCGUUGACAUACUGGAUGGGUAAGCGGUCGUUCUUGCGUAACUCGACCUUCGUGCGGUUCACACGGAAUGUACCGCCACUAACCUGUACCCAGGGUAACAACUUAAGAAGUAAUCUCGGGGUGAUAGAGCCCAUCUGUGGGGCGGUCUUGGUGGUGGUUGCCAGCCUUCUGGCGGUAGCAGUG
rnacentral:antisense_RNA from 1 species